rnacentral:rRNA from 1 species
GUAACACGUAGUCAACCUGCCCUGGAGACAUGGACAACCCCGGGAAACUGGGAUUAAUCCGUGAUAGGUCAUCUCAUCUGGAAGGAGAGAUGGCUUAAAGGGAUGCGCGGGCUUCUUCUGCGUAUUUGCUCCAGGAUGGGACUGCGUCCGAUCAGGCUGUUGGCGGGGUAAUGGCCCACCAAGCCAGUAACCGGUACGGGCCUUGAGAGAGGUGGCCCGGAGAUGGACACUGAGAGAAGGGUCCAGGUCCUACGGGGCGCAGCAGGCGCGAAACCUUCGCAAUGCGCGCAAGCGUGACGAGGUUAAUCCGAGUGAUUUCCGCUGAGGAGACCUUUUGUCUGCUGUAAAUAGGCAGGCGAAUAAGGGGAGGGCAAGCCUGGUGUCAGCCGCCGCGGUAAUACCAGCUCCUCGAGUGGUCGGGGCGAUUAUUGGGCCUAAAGCAUCCGUAGCCGGUUCCGUAGGUCCUCUGUUAAAUCCAACCGCCCAACGGUUGACCUGCAGAGGAUACCGAGAGACU